GAUGAACGCUGGCGGCGUGCCUAAUACAUGCAAGUCGAGCGAACGGACGAGAAGCUUGCUUCUCUGAUGUUAGCGGCGGACGGGUGAGUAACACGUGGAUAACCUACCUAUAAGACUGGGAUAACUUCGGGAAACCGGAGCUAAUACCGGAUGAUAUUUUGAACCGCAUGGUUCAAAAGUGAAAGACGGUCUUGCUGUCACUUAUAGAUGGAUCCGCGCUGCAUUAGCUAGUUGGUAAGGUAACGGCUUACCAAGGCAACGAUGCAUAGCCGACCUGAGAGGGUGAUCGGCCACACUGGAACUGAGACACGGUCCAGACUCCUACGGGAGGCAGCAGUAGGGAAUCUUCCGCAAUGGGCGAAAGCCAGACGGAGCAACGCCGCGUGAGUGAUGAAGGUCUUCGGAUCGUAAAACUCUGUUAUUAGGGAAGAACAUAUGUGUAAGUAACUGUGCACAUCUUGACGGUACCUAAUCAGAAAGCCACGGCUAACUACGUG
rnacentral:rRNA from 1 species